rnacentral:rRNA from 1 species
UGAAACAGCCUCUAGUGCAGAUCUUGGUGGUAGUAA